CACUCCUACGGGAGGCAGCAGUGGGGAAUAUUGGACAAUGGGCGCAAGCCUGAUCCAGCCAUGCCGCGUGAGUGAUGAAGGCCCUAGGGUUGUAAAGCUCUUUCACCGGUGAAGAUAAUGACGGUAACCGGAGAAGAAGCCCCGGCUAACUUCGUGCCAGCAGCCGCGGUAAUACGAAGGGGGCUAGCGUUGUUCGGAUUUACUGGGCGUAAAGCGCACGUAGGCGGACUAUUAAGUCAGGGGUGAAAUCCCGGGGCUCAACCCCGGAACUGCCUUUGAUACUGGUAGUCUUGAGUUCGAGAGAGGUGAGUGGAAUUCCGAGUGUAGAGGUGAAAUUCGUAGAUAUUCGGAGGAACACCAGUGGCGAAGGCGGCUCACUGGCUGGAUACUGACGCUGAGGUGCGAAAGCGUGGGGAGCAAACAGGAUUAGAUACCCCAGUAGUCCCAUGAU
rnacentral:rRNA from 1 species